UAGCAUCGCCGCUUGGCAGACCAUUUUUUCCUUUUGGGCACGGGGGUAGGGCAGUCCUGCACCACUGGAACACGGUUAGAAAAAGCAAUCCCUCCCAGUUCCCCCCAUUACUCCAGGGAAUGUGCAGUUUGCUGCCGGGCUGUGGCAGCGAGAGGUGUGGAUGCCUUUGUUCACCCUGGGUCGCUGAUGCAGCCAUGGUGAGGAGGGGAAUCACUGCUCCCGUGAGCCCUUCCAGAGCUCUCGGCACAGGCGCACCCGGACCCAUUGUCCACAUUAGUGGAUGGAGGCCAAGUGGCAGCUGAGCCCCAGUCAUUUACAGAUAGGUUUAGCUUGGAUUCAAAUCCAUAAUUGUAAAACAAAGCAGUUUUUUCUCAGUCAGCUCACAGCUGCAGUGCUUGCAGACAUCCCAUUUUUCUUUGUCUGUGCAAUGCCUUCUCUCCACAAACUGCAACAAAGAGGGGCUUUAUGUAACGUAUCGUUUCCUCUCUGUUUGCUGGGAGCACAAAGGCUGAGCUGCCUUUGUCAGAGGCUGACAGAGAGCACAUGGAUGGAGGUAUUCCUUGUUUCAGCAGGCGUAUGCUGCUGACAGCACCCAGGAAAAAUCUCCAUCCUGCUCCGAUUGUUCAUACAGGCUGUGUUGCGCUUAAUGGCGCAGUAGUAGCCAUUUGGGUUUGUUAUGCAGAAUAGAGGAGAGUGUUCAAUUCCAUAAUGUUUGGAAUGGCUGCCUAAUUGUAUUUAACAUCUUGGGGACAGACUGGAAACCCUUUUACUCAUCAGGGCUAGCAGGAGGCUGGUAGGUGCUCGACAGUGCCAAAGCAGUCCCGGCAAUCACUUGGUUCCUUUUACAUACAGGGCUCUGAAAUGACAUGGCCCAUCCUACAAAGGCCUCGACGCUGCCUGCUGGGAAUUGGCUGAACGUAUGCAAGCUUUUGCCCUGCAUGUAGUAGCCUAAUUCUCCUGCGAGAAGGAGGCAGAGAAGACAGAAGGGGAGAUAACCUCAAAUAAUAUGGUAACUGCCACGAGACAGAUGCCUGCACAGCAGAGAGAGCGUUAGAUGUUCCCAAGAGAAAGGAAAGAUCCUGGCUGGCAGCUCCCGUCUCUGCUCUGUAAGGGCUGCAGGAAUCGAGGGACACGUUGUAGGAAGAAGGGAAGCGUGGGGCCAAUGUCCUGUUGUGGAUAAAAUACCCAGCAGCAGAGCAGGUGGGGAGGCUGGGAGUGCCUGCUGCCCUCCACCGUCUGCUGCUGCAGUGGGUCCGGCGUUAGCCGUAGUUCGGAAAAAAUCUACAGCUGUUGGUAGAAAAGCUCUGGGGUUGUUAUUCUAUUAUCCAAUUACACUUAUAACUUCAUGAAAAAUGAUAAGUUGAUUAAAGAAACACCAAGGAGACUGGAUGGAGAAGCUGCCACGAGCAGCAACGCUGGGUGUUGGAUGGGUUCGGAUUGAGGGCUUGGUGCCGCGCUGGCUGAGGAUGAGCAGCACUAGGGUGGUGCUCUCACUGUGUGUGUAUUUAUAUAUUUUUAUUUCUUUUUCUUCGUAGGAAAAGACCCUUAAGAUUAUUGAAUCCAUUGAUCCAGCCCUGCUAAGGCUGCGACUAGACCAUGUCCCCAAGUACAACAUCUAAAUGCUGUGUUAAUCAUACAGUCUUGGGCUCUAGAAAAUACUGUCUGAUCAUAUCUGUGAGUGUCCUGUACCACUUGGGAAGCCAACAACAAGAAGGGAAGAGUGGUUUCCCUGCAUGCCUUGCCCAUUAUCUGUCCCUUAGUGGAGCUGAAACAAAGAGGCAACAGCACCGCUUGCCAGACGGAGCAGCAGCGGGGCAGCUCGUGCUCCUGCACUCCCUUCAAAGGAGGCGUCAGAAGCACCUGGCUGGCCUGUGAAAACACCUCAGAGAUUUGGUUCUUCUGAGGAGGAAGAUGCGAUUGCUUUAGAAGCCAGGUUGAAGAAAGGGAACUGCUCCCGUUACCCAGUUGCUGUAAAGCUUUCUUGAUCUAAAACUCAUUAUGCAAAGGCAUGGUUUUCUCCACGCGCGCUCAGAUCGCACCCCAGGUUUGUACGCAGCAAUGUGGAGACAUGGCAAGCCAAAACCACGCUUUUCUCCUGUUUGGACUUCACAAUAAAUAUGUGAGUAAGUACUGAACCUAAUUACAACUUACCUGCAAUCGUUCAUCUGAGAUACAGCUUCUGUGCAGAAACCAGAAAUGUCAGUCACAGGUCAAGCAGAGAGUUUGUGUGUGACUGGGGUGGAUGUCUGCGAUUGUAGCAUCAGAGGGAGGACAGGACACAAGGACUGGAGCCUGUAGGGUGAAUCAAUCGGACUGGUUGUAAGGUACCUCUCUGACUGGUUUUACCUUUCUAAAAAAAUAUGGAGGAAAAUCAUAUUCCCAAGUAUUUAAACCGGUUUAGAAUAUCUGGCUGUACCUUGUUGCGGCUCAGCUGUUACGUACCUGAUGCACCACUGAAUCUAAUUCUGUGUUGUCUCAAGUAAGAAAGUCAGACGAGAUUGCAGAAUCUCUGAGUUCAAAAUGUGUAAAAUGUACAAACUGGGGAAAUCAUCCUGCUCCUAGUUUGAUGCUUUGACUCGCUUGGAUUUGAAGACAAAAUCAGAUAUUCAAAACAGCUUACAUUUUAUUGGAAAUGGAUGUGUUUCUUAGCAGAUGAGAGAAUGGAAUGCCUUGCUGGGCCAUGACUUGUUAGCUUGUGUAUGAAUUGGUUGCUAGUGCGUACGAUUUAGUGCUUCCUGCUAGGGAGAGAGGUUUCGAACACUAGGAGUAGUGUCCAAAAGACGAAGGUAACUGAGCCUUUUUCUUUGGGGAAAGCAAGUACACUUAUAUUAGAUGGUUCUAAGGUAUCCAAGUCCUGCUGUGAAAUAGGAAUAUUUUUCUAAGCUGAUCAAUAGGUGGUACCAAAGCAAAGUGCCAGUUGGUGCUAUACAUACAGCAACUUGAGUUGCAAGAUCACCUGUGCGCAGGAAGAUAUGUUUCGACUCCUCUGAAAGAUCCUGGUCUGUUCAAGUUACACAUUUCCUAGGGUGGAUUUAGACAGUAAUGAAACCAAACAAGAACUCUGCAAGCUACACGGAGCAGACCACCUCAUAAUGGGUUUCCCAUUAGGUCUCAGGGAAGUACUUUUGUGCAACCCUGCAAAACUUCUAAUUGAGGCGGUGUAGGGGCAGGAUUCUGACUUGGCUGCGAGAGAGGUUUCUGUUGUGGGUCCACUCCAGCUGCACGCCAGGCUCCUUUCAUGGAGGGGUCUCACUACUCCAUAGUAGUGCUUCUCUCUUCAUAGUCAAAGCAGACAUAGCCUAAGGGUAUUUUAGGGUGGAGCGUCAUCUCCUUGGGCCAAGCUUUCUCUUCCAGUGCUCAUUGGGAAAGAAGGGGACUGGAAAUAUGUGCAGUGUGUCCUUUGGUGUUAUAAUCAAAGUAGGCUGUCUUAGUGACAGCUGAGGUGUGUGUGAUUGUGUAGGAAACCAUUUUCGCUUGGCUUUGCCGUCAGUGUGCUGCCUUAAGCUAUUUCCCACAGGAACCAAUAAAAAGAAGGUGUCUGAUUGCCCUGGCCUCCUUUUCUUCUACUCGUAUCUGAACUGCCCUCUCUGAGUUUGGAUGCAAACCAAAUUAAACAGUCCGUAAUUUCCUUGGAAUUGGAUGAAUCUGCAUUUUGGCAGGCUUUGCUUCUAACACAUGAGCCCCUGUAGAUGAACCAUUUAAUUCAUAGAUUGCCAAGCAAGAAGUCUGUCCGCAUGGUCACCUCCAGUUCUGCCAUGGGAUGAGAACAGUCAGAUUCUCUCUGAACCUGCCCUCCUAACCCGGGGAGCUUGGAGAGGACAAUACUGGCAUCACAAUUGGAUUCACAGCUCUUGUGCUAACUUAUCUUUUCCCAGCGAACAGGCUCUCUGAAACAAGAGUUCUGCUGAAUUUUCACCUUCUGGCUAUUUUCUAACAGAUGUGGAUGACAUUUUCUGUUCCCUGAAAAUGCCUUUUCAAAGUUCAUUCUAAAACUCAGCGUAGUUUUCCUGAAGGAAAUUGUGGGUGAGGAAAGUAAGUCUGAUUUAGACAGGAGAUAUGUUUGAAAGUUAAGUUGAAGUUGUUAUCAAUGCUCCGUGUUUACUUGCUCUUGCGUAAAGGAAAAGCAGUGCCAUACAGUUAAACUAGUGGCUGUAUUGGUGUGAUCUCGUUCCUCAAAACUUAUGUCUGGUGAUGACGAUGUGUAAAAGGGGGUCUUGUCUCUUUGUGGCUUGGAAAAUCAGACAGAGCUGUGGAGCUUCUGUAACUCGGGGAUCCUGCUUGUUUUCAUCUGUAAUAACCCCUUUGGAUUGCAGCUCACAUUUCCUGAUGUUCAUAAGUCAUAGAAAUACUUCGCUUUUAUGACAUUCCUGGUGUGUUGGACCAUGGUAAAUGUUGUCCAGUAGAGAGCCAGAACACAUUGCCGUCAGGAUGUGUGGGCCCAGUUUGAGCUCUCCCUGAAUUGCAGCUGGGCUGCACGCCUGGUGACCCCUUUCUUUUGAGCAGGGACACCGCUCAAGUUUAGUGUGUCCUUACCUGAGACUAAGAGAUCCUGCCUCACCAAAAGCAGAGAGAUCCCUCACCCACAACAGAUCCUUGGUAAGGGACUGAUAUGUUUCUUCUGUACAGUGAUAAAUGAGGUGAACCUUUCUUAAAACACUGUUAUACACUUUAAAAUUCCAUUGAACUUGCUAUACUCUGUCAAACUACUCUUUUACCUCAAUGGAACAUAUCACUGCUUCUCUCUUUUGAGUGCAUUCCAUUCACCCAUGAUGAUGCUGACCACAGCGGUGGAAGAUCUAGGCAGGACAGCAAAAGGAGAGGUAAGUAGGCAGGUAAGUUAUCUUUGGAGUUUGUUGUAAAGAUGACAGAACUGGCAACCCCAAGCCCUCACACUUUUUAUUACUGAUAUAUUAUGGAAAUUCACUCACACUUUUUAUUACUGAUAUAUUACGGAAAUUCAAAAUUGUAAUGUUAAAAAAAAACAAUUAGUCAGUACAUUUUAGUGCUUUUUCUUCUUUUUUUCUCCCUUGCUAUUUGAUCUCUUUAAUAAGAAUUUUGAGUGCAUCAACCAGAUUGCCUUUACUAUUUAGGAGGUCUGGGUAUGAAUAGAUCGCUGUGCCCCUUGCAAAACUGAUUUAUGGAAAAUCAAUGUGAAUAUUGUCCAGGAUGUGUCAAAUUUUUUUUGUCUCAAAACCUGUCAUUUCCAUGGGUUCCAGGAUGUGUGAUGAAACAGAUGCACAAAAUGAAGCAGGAAUUGGCACAACCGAGGGGAGUUUACUGCUCUGGUGGACAAA